CUGGAGCUGGUGCAGGAGAAGGCGCAGCCGCUACUGGAGCUGGCUGAGGCGCUGGUGCAGGUUCUGCUUUUGGCGCUUCUGG
rnacentral:tRNA from 1 species